rnacentral:rRNA from 1 species
UUGAGGAGGGGACAGAGGGAGGGGUAAUGAGUGGGGUGCAAGCGUGGUGCGGAAGUACGGGGCGGAAAGGGCUCGGAGGGGUGUUGUCGCGUCGUCUGGGAAAUCCCGGGGCGUAACUUCGGGCGUGCAGGCGAUACGGGGAUAACUUGAGUGCUGUAGGGGAGACUGGAAUUCCUGGUGUAGCGGUGAAAUGCGCAGAUAUCAGGAGGAACACCGAUGGCGAAGGCAGGUCUCUGGGCAGUAACUGACGCUGAGGAGCGAAAGCAUGGGUAGCGAACAGGAUUAGAUACCCCGGUAGUC